rnacentral:rRNA from 1 species
UGAGUAACCUGCCCUUCACUCUGGGAUAACUCCGGGGAAACCGGGGCUAAUACUGGAUACGACCUGAACAGGCAUCUGUAUCGGGUGGAAAGAUUUAUUGGUGGAGGAUGGACUCGCGGCCUAUCAGCUUGUUGGUGAGGUAAUGGCUCACCAAGGCGACGACGGGUAGCUGGUCUGAGAGGAUGAUCAGCCACACUGGGACUGAGACACGGCCCAGACUCCGUAGGGACG